GAUGAACGCUGGCGGCGUGCCUAACACAUGCAAGUCGAGCGAGAAGGUUAUGACGGAUUCUUCGGAUGACAGAUUAAUUGGAAAGCGGCGGACGGGUGAGUAACGCGUGAGAAACCUGCCCUAUACAGGGGGAUAGCCAUUGGAAACGAUGAUUAAUACCCCAUAUGACCACAGUAUCGCAUGAUACAGCGGUGAAAACUCCGGUGGUAUAGGAUGGUCUCGCGUCUGAUUAGCUAGUUGGUGGGGUAACGGCCUACCAAGGCGACGAUCAGUAGCCGGCCUGAGAGGGUGACCGGCACACUGGAACUGAGACACGGUCCAGACUCCUACGGGAGGCAGCAGUGGGGAAUAUUGCACAAUGGGCGAAAGCCUGAUGCAGCGACGCCGCGUGAACGAUGAAGGCUUUUCGAGUCGU
rnacentral:rRNA from 1 species